CCCUUAGAUGUUCUGGGCCGCACGCGCGCUACACUGAUGCAUUCAACAAGCCUAGCCUUGACCGAGAGGUCCGGGUAAUCUUUGAAACUGCAUCGUGAUGGGGCUAGAUUAUUGCAAUUAUUAAUCUUCAACGAGGAAUGCCUAGUAAGCGUGAUUCAUCAAAUCGCGUUGAUUACGUCCCUGCCCUUUGUACACACCGCCCGUCGCUACUACCGAUUGAAUGGUUUAGUGAGAUCUUCGGAUUGGCGCCACUGCGGCUCAGCAAUGGGCUCGGUGGAUGCCGAAAAGUUGAUCAAACUUGAUCAUUUAGAGGAAGUAAAAGUCGUAACA
rnacentral:rRNA from 1 species